UGAGGAAUAUUGGUCAAUGGCCGAGAGGCUGAACCAGCCAAGCCGCGUGAGGGAAGAAGGUACAGAGUAUCGUAAACCUCUUUUGUCGGGGAACAAAAGCGGGG
rnacentral:rRNA from 1 species